rnacentral:rRNA from 1 species
GCCUAGCCGUAAAACAUUAACUUACACCCCUUACCGCCCGGGAAUUACGAGCCCAAGCUUAAAACCCAAAGGACUUGACGGUGUCCCACCCACCUAGAGGAGCCUGUUCUAUAAUCGAUUCCCCCCGAUCUACCUCACCAUUUCUAGCUUUUUCAGCCUGUAUACCUCCGUCGUAAGCUUACCAUAUGAACGUUUCUCAGUGAGCUAAAAGAUUUAUUCAUAAAUACGUCAGGUCAAGGUGCAGCCCACGAAAUGGCAAGCAAUGGGCUACAAUUUCUAUAAUAGAACACAACGAAAGACUACAUGCAACUCAGUCAUGAAGGCGGAUUUAGCAGUAAAAAGAAAGUAGAGAGUUCUUUUUAAUUAGGCGCUGGGACGCGUACACACCGCCCGUCACCCUCUUCAAACGCUUUAAAUAUGUUUAUAACACUUUUAUGCACCCCAGAAGAGGUAAGUCGUAACAUGGUAAGUGUACUGGAAAGUGCACUUGGAUAAACAAAAUGUAGCUUAACUAAAGCAUCUCGCUUACACCGAGAACAUGUCCGUGAAACUCAGAUCAUUUUGAGCUGAAAACCUAGCUUACCCUAUUCUUAUGAAUAUACCUCCUUAACAUAAACUAAAUAAAACAUUUUGCACAUUUAGUAAAGGCGAUUAAAAAGUGUCUCAAAGCUAUAGAAACUAGUACCGCAAGGGAAAAGUGAAAUAUUAGUGAAAAACCUCAAGCACAAAAAAGUAGAGCUACAACCUCG